rnacentral:rRNA from 1 species
UACGUAGGGUGCAAGCGUUAAUCGGAAUUACUGGGCGUAAAGCGUGCGCAGGCGGCUUUGCAAGACAGAUGUGAAAUCCCCGGGCUUAACCUGGGAACUGCGUUUGUGACUGCGAGACUCGAGUGUGGCAGAGGGGGGUGGAAUUCCACGUGUAGCAGUGAAAUGCGUAGAUAUGUGGAGGAACAUCGAUGGCGAAGGCAGCCCCCUGGGUCAACACUGACGCUCAUGCACGAAAGCGUGGGGAGCAAACAGG